UACGAAGGGAGCUAGCGUUGCUCGGAAUCACUGGGCGUAAAGCGCACGUAGGCGGAUGUGUCAGUCAGGGGUGAAAUCCCGGGGCUCAACCUCGGAACUGCCUUUGAUGCAGCACGUCUUGAGUCCGAUAGAGGUGGGUGGAAUUCCUAGUGUAGAGGUGAAAUUCGUAGAUAUUAGGAAGAACACCGGUGGCGAAGGCGGCCCACUGGAUCGGUACUGACGCUGAGGUGCGAAAGCGUGGGGAGCAAACAGG
rnacentral:rRNA from 1 species